GGACAUACACAUGCAAGUCGAGCGGAUGAAGGGAGCUUGCUCCUGGAUUCAGCGGCGGACGGGUGAGUAAUGCCUAGGAAUCUGCCUGGUAGUGGGGGAUAACGUCCGGAAACGGGCGCUAAUACCGCAUACGUCCUGAGGGAGAAAGUGGGGGAUCUUCGGACCUCACGCUAUCAGAUGAGCCUAGGUCGGAUUAGCUAGUUGGUGGGGUAAAGGCCUACCAAGGCGACGAUCCGUAACUGGUCUGAGAGGAUGAUCAGUCACACUGGAACUGAGACACGGUCCAGACUCCUACGGGAGGCAGCAGUGGGGAAUAUUGGACAAUGGGCGAAAGCCUGAUCCAGCCAUGCCGCGUGUGUGAAGAAGGUCUUCGGAUUGUAAAGCACUUUAAGUUGGGAGGAAGGGCAGUAAGUUAAUACCUUGCUGUUUUGACGUUACCAACAGAAUAAGCACCGGCUAACUUCGUGCCAGCAGCCGCGGUAAUACGAAGGGUGCAAGCGUUAAUCGGAAUUACUGGGCGUAAAGCGCGCGUAGGUGGUUCAGCAAGUUGGAUGUGAAAUCCCCGGGCUCAACCUGGGAACUGCAUCCAAAACUACUGAGCUAGAGUACGGUAGAGGGUGGUGGAAUUUCCUGUGUAGCGGUGAAAUGCGUAGAUAUAGGAAGGAACACCAGUGGCGAAGGCGACCACCUGGACUGAUACUGACACUGAGGUGCGAAAGCGUGGGGAGCAAACAGGAUUAGAUACCCUGGUAGUCCACGCCGUAAACGAUGUCGACUAGCCGUUGGGAUCCUUGAGAUCUUAGUGGCGCAGCUAACGCGAUAAGUCGACCGCCUGGGGAGUACGGCCGCAAGGUUAAAACUCAAAUGAAUUGACGGGGGCCCGCACAAGCGGUGGAGCAUGUGGUUUAAUUUCGAAGCAACGCGAAGAACCUUACCUGGCCUUGACAUGCUGAGAACUUUCCAGAGAUGGAUUGGUGCUUCGGGACUCAGACACAGGUGCUGCAUGCUGUCGUCAGCUCGUGUCGUGGAGAUGUUGGGUUAAGUCCGUAACGAGGCGCAACCCUGGUC
rnacentral:rRNA from 1 species